AUUGAACGCUGGCGGCAGGCCUAACACAUGCAAGUCGAACGAGUGGCGGACGGGUGAGUAAUGUCUGGGAAACUGCCCGAUGGAGGGGGAUAACUACUGGAAACGGUAGCUAAUACCGCAUACCAUCGGAUGUGCCCAGAUGGGAUUAGCUUGUAGGUGAGGUAACGGCUCACCUAGGCGACGAUCCCUAGCUGGUCUGAGAGGAGGGCCCGGCAAACUGGAACUGAGACACGGUAUAGACUCCUACGGGAGGCAGGAGUGGGGAAUAGGGCACAAGGGGCGCAAGCCUGAUGCAGUCAGGCCGCGUGUAUGAAGAAGGCUUUCGGGUUGUAAAGGAAUUUCAGCCGGGAGGCGUUACCUGCAGAAGAAGCACCGGCUAACGACGUGCCAGCAGCCGCGGUAAGAC
rnacentral:rRNA from 1 species